UGAAAAGUAGUUUCUGUGUAUUUCCAUUUUGGGUUUAUUGUGUUAAAAUUGUUCUUUUUCAUGUUCCCUUUUUUUCUUUGCUUUUCUUUUCUUAGGGUACUAGUGUUGCACGUUCGAGGGAAGCACUCUGCCACUGAGCAGAGCUCAACAUGAACUAGACUAGUAAUCAGAAAUAAGAGAACUAUUUGGAAGCAAAUGUGCUACAAGUCAGUGAGCUGAGCACUUUCUCCGGUCUGCACUGGUUUGCAAUCUCCCUCCUCUCGCACAUCUGCCCACUGCAGCCUCGACCUGUUCUCUGUUUCCGGAACUGCAGGAGUGCCAUU
rnacentral:lncRNA from 1 species